AACGAACGCUUGCGGCAUGCCUAAUACAUGCAAGUCGAACGAGAUCUUCGGAUCUAGUGGCGCACGGGUGCGUAACGCGUGGGAACCUGCCCUUGGGUUCGGAAUAACGUCGGGAAACUGACGCUAAUACCGGAUGAUGACGUAAGUCCAAAGAUUUAUCGCCCAAGGAUGAGCCCGCGUAGGAUUAGCUAGUUGGUAAGGUAAAGGCUUACCAAGGCGACGAUCCUUAGCUGGUCUGAGAGGAUGAUCAGCCACACUGGGACUGAGACACGGCCCAGACACAUACGGGAGGCAGCAGGAGGGAAUAUUGGACAAUGGGCGAAAGCCUGAUCCAGCAAUGCCGCGUGAGUGAUGAAGGCCUUAGGGUUGUAAAGCUCUUUUACCCGGGAUGAUAAUGACAGUACCGGGAGAAUAAGCCCCGGCUAACUCCGUGCCAGCAGCCGCCGCCG
rnacentral:rRNA from 1 species